rnacentral:lncRNA from 1 species
GUGGCUUCUCUGCACAUCAUUCACAGUUCAAAGCUCCUUUUCUCUGUGUGCUGUCAGUAAUAGAAAGAACAAACAGCAAACCAGCUUAUAGUCAAAAACCCCGCCAUCUGUGUAGGUGAUUGACCCUGCACAGGUAAUCAGGGGAUCUCCCUGACAGGUGCCUGCAAAGAGGGAGAGUGGAGUAAGUACAUCCCUUUCCGAGCACAUAGUUAAGAUAUCUGCCCUCUCUGCAUUUGAAACAAACUUCAGGGCCCACCCCACUGCCAUUUUGUGGCCUGUGCCAACCCUCCCAAUGCUGAAGUCUGCAUUUCACCCGGCAAUAAGAGUUUCCCAACUGCAACCACCAACAGAGGCUGCCACACCAUUUUGCACAGAUGCAGUUUGCAGAUUCUCUCUUUACCUUUCACAAGUGGAGUGGAGGUGAGUCACGAUUUGCUGGUUUCCAGACCACGCACCUCUUCAGGUUUCAGUCUGGGCCUCAUAGAUGCCCUGUAACCACAACAAAGAUUCAACUGUUCCCCAUUGACACAGAAUUUUGAAUACAUGCUAUUUAUUUUUCAUAGGUUCCUUGCCACAGGAUGGACAAAAAGUUUCUCAGCUCGAAAUCAUAUAGAGGAUGAAGUUUCUUCAUUGCUGUAUAACAAAGUCAGACAUGAGAGCUCACUGCAAUGAUCAUUACAACAAAGCUCUAUCAGCCAUGUCUACAUGGAGAGAUGUCUGCAUAUCUGGAGAAGAAAAAUGAGAGAAGCAGUAAAAGGAGCACAUCAGGAAAAGAAACCCAACUAAAUCUGAGCAGAUACUACAAAGGGACUGAGGUAUUUAUGGAAGGCAGCAGACAGGUUGCAGCAGCAUUAGGUAAGGGCCCAACACAGGGAAAGGCAAGGUUUGGGGAUUUGCUUCUUUUUAGUUGUUGCAUAAAAAAUAUGAUAGCUUCUAUUUCACUGCAAUCUUUUUACAAGAAAUGACAUGGGUUACACACCCUGAUUAUCGACCAGAACAUCUCAUAGCAGUCAGAAAGAAAAUGACCUCCUGGCCUUUGUCCAGCUGUAAUGAUCCCAGAUCCCAAGAAAUCAACUUGCAACUUUUGAGGAUGGGGGAGGAGGGGGAAAACCCCAACCCAAAACAAACACCAAAGACAGACAAAAGCAACCCAGCCCUUACUUUUUAACCACAAAUGAUGAACUUUGAAAGGCUGCAAUGAUUCCUUUUGGUCUGCUGUGCUAUAAAAACCUGAGAGAAUUUUGCUCACAGUUUACAAUGACAUAGUCGAG